AAACUAUUUUCUAAGAAUGGUUGCUCUGCAGCCAAUCAGAGGCGCUUCCUCCAGUUCUUCUCUUUGUAUAUAAAGCCUGACCACGAACAAGCCAUAUUAUUCUCUAUAAAAACAACACAAAGAAGAAAAGAUCAUGGGAAACGGCCCGUCUUCUGUUCCGACAGGAACCCCAUCAGGUGUAAUGACGUUUGCAUCUCCUGCUGGUGCGACAAUUGGUUAUCCCGAUCCAAGCCCUACUCCCCUCAGCACUGGUCUCACACUCGCACCGGGUCCAUCACCAAGCAGUGGUUUUAGUCCACCGCCAAGUGGUGGUCUACCACCAAGUGGUGGUCCACCACCGAUGAUGUAACCAAGGUUUUCCCCUUGAAGUCGUUAUGGUUUGUGAAGCCCUUUACGGGCUGUAAUAAUAAAUUUGGAUUGAUUGAUGAA